rnacentral:rRNA from 1 species
GACGAACGCUGGCGGCGUGCUUAACACAUGCAAGUCGAACGGAAAGGCCCUGCUUUUGUGGGGUGCUCGAGUGGCGAACGGGUGAGUAACACGUGAGUAACCUGCCCUUGACUUUGGGAUAACUUCAGGAAACUGGGGCUAAUACCGGAUAGGAGCUCCUGCUGCAUGGUGGGGGUUGGAAAGUUUCGGCGGUUGGGGAUGGACUCGCGGCUUAUCAGCUUGUUGGUGGGGUAGUGGCUUACCAAGGCUUUGACGGGUAGCCGGCCUGAGAGGGUGACCGGCCACAUUGGGACUGAGAUACGGCCCAGACUCCUACGGGAGGCAGCAGUGGGGAAUAUUGCACAAUGGGCGAAAGCCUGAUGCAGCAACGCCGCGUGCGGGAUGACGGCCUUCGGGUUGUAAACUGCUUUCGCCUGUGACGAAGCGUGAGUGACGGUAAUGGGUAAGGAAGCACCGGCUAACUACGU